UGUUGCUUGUGCAUAUUUUCCUACCACAUUUUUCCCUUUCAGUCAACCUUCCAUGAAUAUGCUUUAAUAUAGCACUCUGUGAACAGUCAGCCCUUUCAGUAAUGACCUUCUGUGGCUUCCCCUCCUUGUGGAGGGCAUCAAUGAGCAUCUUUUGGGCAACUGUCAAGUCAGGAUGAACCAAACAGAG